UACGAAGGGGGCGAGCGUUGUUCGGAAUUACUGGGCGUAAAGGGCGCGUAGGCGGCCGGUCAAGUCAGAUGUGAAAGUCCUGGGCUUAACCUGGGGACUGCAUUUGAUACUGUUUGGCUUGAAUGCAGGAGAGGAUAGCGGAAUUCCCAGUGUAGAGGUGAAAUUCGUAGAUAUUGGGAAGAACACCGGUGGCGAAGGCGGCUAUCUGGACUGUGAUUGACGCUGAGGCGCGAAAGCGUGGGGAGCAAACAGG
rnacentral:rRNA from 1 species